CCGCGAAGGAACCAAAUUGCUACCGGGUUCUUUGCUCCGGUGGCAACAUUUCCCUCCGGACCUUUCCGAGUGCAGCAAGACCCUCACCAUGAGACUGGAGAGACAACUUAGCCAUUAGAGGCUCUUGUGGAAGACCCAGGUCCAACAUCCACAUGGUGCCUUGCCAUCUGAUACUCCAGGACAACUGUUGCCCUUUCUGGCCUUUAUGAGCCCCAGGAAUGCAAAUGGCAUCACUGUUUGGCUUCAAACUCCUCAUCUGUCUCGUGUGACCUAUGAGAAUACCAGCGAAUGAAACAGACAGCAGCGGCGGCGGCGGGGCUGGGAACUGAGACACAGCUGCACCUGCGGUACAGUGGCGAGCAUGACAGUGACCACAGUGCACUGACUGAGGCUGAAGAGAAGCCGGUGUGAGCUCGAGGGUGUACAGCAGUUUGUGAGGGUCAGACUCACCCCAACUCCAAUUUUCUUAUAGACUUUUUGUUGUUGUUGUUUUUUUGGAUUUUUUUUUUCCAAAGCAAAUGCAAGACUUCUCUUGAGGACACACUAAAGCCAGACUAAAGUGGAGUUGUAGAGAGACAUGGGUGUGAUGUAGGAUUAAGCAAAGCUCAUGUACUUUUGGUGUAGAAAGCACACUGUCUGGCUUUGGGGCCAAUAUCUCCAAUGCUUUUGAUUAAGAAUUUGUUUGGUGGGGUAAAAACAAACAAGAGUGAUUACCUCUGACUUUUGAAGUUCCCAGAUUUCACAUGUCUUUUUCCUGUGCUCUUUCAACACUGAAGCCAGCCUAGAUUAAGGACUCACCUUCAGACAUUACUUGUAGAGCCUGAGUUUCUAUGCAAAUAUGAGUUCACAGACCCCAUAAACCAGAUGUCUUGAAGAAGACACAAAGCUCAAAAGGAAAAAAGAAAAGCAAGUGGGAAGUCAUGUACUAAUUGUGAUACAAAUACUAAUAAAAAACCGAAAACAUAAAUAUUUUGUUAGUUGAAGUUAAAAUAUAAUUACAUCAUUUCUUUCUUCCCUUUCCUCACUCCAACCCUUCCUAUUUACACCACCCCC